GGGGUCGAAAGUGUAUGGAUUUUAAAAACGGGGGUCACUGAUUUCUUUGGUCACUGGUUUUGUCUCUUCUAUAUAACUUGACCAAGUGUCAAAUCAGACUUCUUGGUCCAAUGAGUCUCAUCGGUUUGGGGGCAGUUAUUGGCACGCACAAUCGAGGAGAGCCACGUUUUAUCUAUGCAAUUCAAUGCCUUCACUUUUUCUGAAUUAAUAUUUUUAGCGAAUUCUUUCCCCUCCACUUCCUGACCAGCUUGCAGCUAAUCUCUUGCUCGCAUUCCUUUGACAUUGUCUUUUGCGUUCCUUCCUUCUUUGUUUUUCUGGAGGGGGGGGGGGCAACUAAUUUUAUCCCUUACUUUUAUCAAAAUCCUCACGCGUCCCCCUCCCUCGGAUAAUAAAUGAACUUUUCCUUAGAAACACUAUUAAAAAGACACUGUCAGAGAACACCCAAAAAGCCUAAGCAUAAAUACCAGUUCAUUAUUUACCAUAACGUCCACAGAGAAAAAUUUUAGAAAUGCAGUUUUUAGGGGGUUAUUUUUUUCAUUUCCAUACCCAGAGGAGGGGGGGGGGGGUAAUUUUUUUUAUCUUGUUCCACGUGAGAUACCGACCAGGCGAUCUGCCUUAUUACACAUAAUUUUCGCGGCGUCAAAAUUCCGAGAAUGUGAGAUGGCGAUAUUUCGCGACACUUUAUUUUCGCGAUUUUCCUAUUUUCGUAAAAACCCGAUCACUUUAUUUUCGCGAUUUCGCGAUUUUAGGGAUAAUAAAAUCAAGCAAAACAAAUUUAAUGGAAUGGAAUUAAUGUGCUAUAAUCAUCAACUCAUUUGCAACAAAAAGAUGCGUUGGCUAAAUUUAUCUUCAUAAAAAUCUAUACAAGUCAAACUCAUAAGGUGUAUCAUAAAGCUUAUUAAAAGACCAAUACUCCCCCAAAUGUUUCUUGUGUACUCACUUAAUUUUCGCGCAUCCUAAUUUUUACGACACUUACUUUUCGCGUCACUUUAUUUUCGCCAAUCUUUUAAAAGUGUAAUAAGAUAUGAGCAAUUAAAUUGAAAUUUGUAAAUUCUUAGCGGGUUUAUAAUAAUAAAA